GUGGAGGGAGGGUUGACGGUCUUCACUCUCUCACCAGCCCUCUCUCACCACUGAGCCUUUCCAUUACAAUUCAAUGCUUCUAGUGGGAUGUGAACAGGAACCCGAAAGCUACUAUUUCAUAGUCAAAUACCAACCUUAUAAUGAAUUUUAAGAACUUCAGUUCACAAGCUGCUUACAAAAUUCCACUGCCACGCAGAUUGUUUUAAAUAACAGACAUGACGACUUACAUUUCACUAGUGGGCCCCGCCCAACUGUGACCACGUCAUAAGCUGCUACGUCCCUCAACAUCUGCAACUCCAUU